GGGCUUGCCUCAGCAACAUAUAUACUAAAAUUGGAAUGAUUACAGAGAAGAUUAGCAUGGCCCUUAUGCAAGGAUGAUGCCUGAAUUUGUGAAGUAUUCCAUAUAUAU
ensembl:snRNA U6 U6 spliceosomal RNA